UCGAGCGUGGCGUACUGGAUUUCAUUUAUGAUUGUGAAAAUAAGUUUAGCCAGCAUCCGGGGUUCGAUUCCCCGCGUUCAAG